rnacentral:rRNA from 1 species
AACGCGAAGAACCUUACCAGCCCUUGACAUGUCCAGGACCGGUCGCAGAGACGCGACCUUCUUUUCGGAGCUUGGAACACAGGUGCUGCAUGGCUGUCGUCAGCUCGUGUCGUGAGAUGUUGGGUUAAGUCCCGCAACGAGCGCAACCCUCGUCCUUAGUUGCCAUCAUUCAGUUGGGCACUCUAAGGAGACUGCCGGUGAUAAGCCGCGAGGAAGGUGGGGAUGACGUCAAGUCCUCAUGGCCCUUACGGGCUGGGCUACACACGUGCUACAAUGGCGGUGACAAUGGGCAGCGAACCCGCAAGGGGGAGCUAAUCUCAAAAAGCCGUCUCAGUUCGGAUUGCACUCUGCAACUCGAGUGCAUGAAGUUGGAAUCGCUAGUAAUCGUGGAUCAGCAUGCCACGGUGAAUACGUUCCCGGGUCUUGUACACACCG